rnacentral:rRNA from 1 species
GAUGAACGCUAGCUACAGGCUUAACACAUGCAAGUCGAGGGGUAACGAGAGGAAAGCUUGCUUUCCUUGUCGACGACCGGCGCACGGGUGAGUAACGCGUAUCCAACCUGCCCCCAACUAGGGAAUAACCUUGCGAAAGUAAGACUAAUACCCUAUAAUUUCCUCAGAUGUCAUCUGACGAUGAAUAAAGAUUUAUCGGUUUUGGUUGGGGAUGCUUCUGAUUAGCUUGUUGGCGGGGUAACGGCCCACCAAGGCAACGAUCAGUAGGGGUUCGGAGAGGAAGGUCCCCCACAUUGGAACUGAGACACGGUCCAAACUCCUACGGGAGGCAGCAGUGAGGAAUAUUGGUCAAUGGGCGGAAGCCUGAACCAGCCAAGUAGCGUGCAGGAUGAUGGCCCUAUGGGUUGUAAACUGCUUUUAUACAGGAAUAAAGUUAGCCACGUGUGGUUAUUUGUAGGUACUGUAUGAAUAAGGACCGGCUAAUUCCGUGCCAGCAGCCGCCGUAA